GAAAGUAAAAGCGGAUCAAGCCAAAACCUCAAUCUUUAUGGAUUUUACUCCAGAACAUAUUCAUCAGCCUGUUCAGCUUGCUGUCCUCAAACAGCUGACUGGAUGUCUGCUUCUUUGGGAAAUUGAACUCAGGGCUCUGCAGAGAAGCAGAACUAACGUAACAGAGCGAUGAGGGGAAGGGGUGUUGUGCAAUUAACUGAGCUGCCAAUGCCUCCCUGCUAUGGGCAAGCUGGAUGCCCUGGAGUGUUAACUUGCUGUUCUGGUCAGAGUCAGCCUACACCCCUUAGGAAGGGGAUAAUCCCCACCCACGUUGGGGAGAAAAACCUGCUGGACCCCUUCUAGGAAUUCAAAUGCUAAUCUCAUCCACAAACAUCCACAGAAGAACAUCUGAGGAAGACUUGACCAAAGAGCUGAGUCCCUGUGGUCUAGUGAAACCUCUGAAACCAGCCAUCAACAAACUCAAGCAUCAAUGUCCAUCUUCACCACAACCCUGGGAUUCUGGUACACAAGAAUGUCUCCACUUCAUAAGGAAGUUUCUUUUUGCCAAGGGUAAACACACUCUGAGCAGAGACGUCAGACAGGCUCUGUGGACAGCCAGGGCGCUGUGGUGACCUCACCAGGGGAAGCCUCAUCUGAAACAAUGGGAGCCUAAGAGUACAAGCUUACAUGACCAGCCAGGAACUGAAACUUCCUUCUGAGUUUGAGACUACAGGUGACUAGAGAGGGCAUAUGUUCUCAAAAUCUCAAGUAUGGUCAUAUGCAGAACAAAUGUUACAGCUGUCUGUGUGCCCUAAGCUUACACACUUAGGAAGCCACAUAGCACACAGCCAUAGCUUAAUGCCUGGCUUUCUUACUCUUAGAAUUUCACUUUGGGUUUAGCCAACACACAUCUGAGACACAAGCGCUGAAUAACUAUGUUGCCCAGCAUUGUUCUGGAAGCUAGAAAUCCAAAAUCUGGGUUUCUGCAGGGGUCUUAUUCCCCUUUGGAAGAAUAUUGUCCUUCAUUGUCUUCCUGCUAUUGUUUGCCAACAGUGUUUGUUGUUUUCUGGCAAUAAAUUCAUUAGUUCCAA